rnacentral:rRNA from 1 species
GGAUGAUGGCCAAUGGGCGCAAGCCUGAUCCAGCCAUGCCGCGUGCAGGAUGACGGUCCUAUGGAUUGUAAACUGCUUUUGCACAGGAAGAAACAACGCUACGUGUAGCGUCUUGACGGUACUGUGAGAAUAAGGAUCAGCUAACUCCGUGCCAGCAGCCGCGGUAAUACGGAGGAUCCAAGCGUUAUCCGGAAUCAUUGGGUUUAAAGGGUCCGUAGGCGGUCUUAUAAGUCAGUGGUGAAACCUCCCC